UACGUAGGGUGCGAGCGUUAAUCGGAAUUACUGGGCGUAAAGCGUGCGCAGGCGGUUUUGUAAGCCAGAUGUGAAAGCCCCGGGCUUAACCUGGGAAUGGCAUUUGGGACUGCAAGGCUUGAGUGCGGCAGAGGAGACUGGAAUUCCUGGUGUAGCAGUGAAAUGCGUAGAUAUCAGGAGGAACACCUGCGGCGAAGGCGGGUUGCUGGGCCGACACUGACGCUGAAGCGCGAAAGCCAGGGGAGCGAACGGG
rnacentral:rRNA from 1 species